UGGACAGUUUAUUGUAUUCGAUUGUAUUCACGGCGUGAAACAGGGGAUUACAUUGUUUUUAAACGGAAAGUGAAUCAAUUAACAUAAUAGACUCCU
rnacentral:pre_miRNA from 1 species